rnacentral:tRNA from 1 species
GGCUCUGUGGUACAAUGGUAAGCAUGUUAGCUAUCUAAGCAGCGGUGCUUGGAAUGAACCCACCCAAUUAUUCAAAGGUUUUGGGUUCAAAUCCCACCACAGUCA